CCCUGGCUGGCUCAGUCGGUGGAGUGUGCGACUCCUGAUCUUGGGGUUGUGGGUUCGAGCCCCACGCUGAGUG
rnacentral:tRNA from 1 species